rnacentral:rRNA from 1 species
UGGGGAAUAUUGCACAAUGGGCGGAAGCCUGAUGCAGCAACGCCGCGUGAGUGAUGAAGGCCUUCGGGUCGUAAAGCUCUGUCUUUUGGGACGAUAAUGACGGUACCAAAGGAGGAAGCCACGGCUAACUACGUGCCAGCAGCCGCGGUAAUACGUAGGUGGCAAGCGUUGUCCGGAUUUACUGGGCGUAAAGGAUGCGUAGGCGGAUUUUUAAGUGAGAUGUGAAAUACCCGGGCUUAACUUGGGUGCUGCAUUUCAAACUGGGAAUCUAGAGUGCGGGAGAGGAGAAUGGAAUUCCUAGGUGUAGCGGUGAAAUGCGUAGAGAUUAGGAAGACACCAGUGGCGAAGGCGAUUCUCUGGACCGUAACUGACGCUGAGGCAUGAAAGCGU